rnacentral:rRNA from 1 species
UACGUAGGGCGCAAGCGUUGUCCGGAAUUAUUGGGCGUAAACAGCUCGUAGGCGGCCUGUUACGUCUGCUGUGAAAUCCCGGGGCUUAACCCCGGGCGUGCAGUGGAUACGGGCAGGCUGGAGGCAGGCAGGGGAGAACGGAAUUCCCGGUGUAGCGGUGAAAUGCGCAGAUAUCGGGAGGAACACCGGUGGCGAAGGCGGUUCUCUGGGCCUGUACUGACGCUGAGGAGCGAAAGCGUGGGGAGCGAACAGG